GAUUUAACAAAUAUGGCUGCUCAUUAAAUGCCGUGUUUUGAAGCCGAAGUUUACCGAUUGUCACCUUAUAGUGAACAAAUAACAAAAAGCAUGGGUAUUGAGCACGUGUUUAACAUGUACAAUCAGAAAAUUGUUUAUUUUAAUGUCUGAUCCAUGCGUAUUGCGACCACCAGAUUUUUACGAGGAGAGUUACGCUCAGGUCACUAUGCAUACGGAAAAUAUGUCGGC
rnacentral:lncRNA from 1 species